rnacentral:rRNA from 1 species
AGGACGCCCUGCGGAAGGGAAGCACCGCAACGCCUUUGAAUACUAAUUGAUAUUGGUCUGAUCUUGUUUUGAAGAAACAUUAAAACUUUCAGCAACGGAUCUCUUGGUUCUCGCAUCGAUGAAGAACGCAGCGAAAUGCGAAAAGUAGUGUGAAUUGCAGAAUUCAGUGAAUCAUCGAAUCUUUGAACGCACAUUGCGCCUCGCGGUAUUCUGCGAGGCAUGCCUGUUCGAGCGUCAUUAAAAACCCUUCAAGCCUUCAUUGCUUGGUUGUGGUGGAUGAGAAACCCCAGGGCCCCAAGGUAUCUCACCUCCCAAACUCAAUGGCUCAUUACAAAAGCCGAGCUGCACAGUGGUCGUAGGUGAUUAGCACAGAUCCUCCUCAGUGCCCGGUGAAAGUGUAGCCCAUCAAUGCCAGGUAGUUUUAUUACAGUUUGACCUCGGAUCAGGUAGGGAUACCCGCUGAACUUAAGCAUAUCAAUAAGCGGAGGAAAAGAAACCAACAGGGAUUGCCUUAGUAACUGCGAGUGAAGCGGCACAAGCUCAAAUUUGAAAUCUGGCGUCUUUGGCGUCCGACUUGUAAUUUGGAGAGGCAUCUUUGGAGAUGGCAUUGUCCCAAAUUCCUUGGAACAGGAUGUCGCAGAGGGUGAGAAUCCCGUAUCUGGACGGCUGUCCAUCUCCAUUAUGGGGUGUCUUCGACGAGUCGAGUUGUUUGGGAAUGCAGCUCAAAAUGGGUGGUAAAUGUCAUCUAAAGCUAAAUAUUGGCGAGAGACCGAUAGCGCACAAGUAGAGUGAUCGAAAGAUGAAAAGCACUUUGAAAAGAGAGUCAAAAAGUACGUGAAAUUGCUGAAAGGGAAGCGCUUGAGACCAGACUCAACUCCUUGAUGUCAACCCGGGCUUCUGUCUGGGGAAUUAUGUCUUGGAUUGAGCCAGCAUCGGUUUUGGGGGUGGGAUAAAAGAAAAGGGAAUGUAGCUUCCUCACGGGAGUGUUCUUUAGCCCUGGUCACAAUGCCACCACCAAGGACCGAGGACCGCGCU